rnacentral:lncRNA from 1 species
UGAUUAGUGGUGUAAGAAUAUUUAACUAUUAUUGUUUUGUGUGAAGUAUGAACAAUUGUAAUAUACUUACACUGGUAUCAUCAAGUCUGGAUAAAAAUCCAAAAUGUGAUAAAAAUAAUCUAGCUGUAUUGAAAUCUGUACAUGGUUGAGGUGGCAACAUUUCUAUGGCUUUAGGUGGAGGAUCUGGACAAAAACUUUCCAUUUCCUUCUGCUUUUCAAUCAAAUCUGAUAAUACGCUAUGCUCUUCAUCAUCAAAUACUAAACUAUCUAAACUUGGUAUAGAUUUAUCUCUGUAAAAUUGUAUUUAUUUUUUCAUAAUAAUAAUAAUAAUAAUAAUUAAAUUAUUGAAAAAUAAUUAUAAUAAAUUAAAUACAUUUUGCAAGUGGGUACUCGUUCAAUGCUAUCUGAAAAAUGUGUAGUGGACUUUCGGGAAUAUCUAUGUCUACCCGGUUCUUCCAUUGCUACAGGACGGCCAGGAAAAAUAUUAUACUGUUUGGUUGAUGAAGAUCGAUGUCGUGGUAAAUGUCUUAGUUGUAAAGUCCAAGCUUGCCGUCCAAACGAUCCUCUAAUUAGUACAGUUAAAGUUGGCUGGGCAUCUAAACAUAAGAAUUUCAGUAAUAUAUGCUAAAACAGUUCAUAUAAUUACUAAAAAUAAAGAGUAUUUCCACCUUGGUUAUUUCCCAGAGGCUCUUCAAAAAGGGCUAAAAUUAUGGAAUUUUCUAAUACAAAGUAUCGAAAUUUGGAUAUGGCAUGCGAUUUAUUUAGCAUGUUUUCAGUAGCUAUUGAAUUACAGUGUUUAAUUAAUGUUAUUUCAUCCAAUAAACACGAUAAACUUUCUGCACCACAAAUGGAUGGAAAAUACCCGACCUAAAAUUUAAUCUUAUCAUGAGAAAUCCUAAAAAAUUACUAAAAACAAAUUAUUAUUCUUCUUACUUGUUCUAAUAUAAUAGUUAGUAAUGAUUCAGCGGCAUCUCUUACUCUCAUUGAAGCAGGUUUAAGUUCUUUUUCGUCCUUCAUUUUUAUUGGUUCUUGAAGUUUUCCCUGUAUAAACAUACAUAAUUAUUUUUUUAUAGGUAUCACACUAGAAAUUCUUAUAUAAUACAAAAAUUAUUUAUUUACAAUCGAUUUAGUGCCAGAUAUACCAAGUUCAACCACUUCAAUAAUUGUAUUCAAACAAUCUUUAUCAUCUAGUAAGUAAGGAUGAGCCACAAGCCAAACUACAGUACAUUGAUAUGCAGCAACAAUAGUGGAAUGUAAAUCUCGUGAAUGAGCUGGAGGAGGACGCCAACAUUGGUAAGUUAUAUAAUCACAUAACCAUUUUACCGCUCGUUUACAUUCUAAUGAAUCUAAACAAAUUAUUACAAUAUGUAAUAAUGCAUUUCAGUUAAAUUAAAAUUGAAAUGAAAAAAUCAAUUCUUUUACUAACAAAAUAUAACAUAAAUUACCAGUUAAUUUUUUUGCUGCAUGAAACAUUAAUUAAUAAUUUAUUAAACUAAAAAUAAUAAGAUCAACAAUAAAUAUGAUUAGGUAAUUAAUUUGAUUGUAAUGAUUUUUUAAAUGCUAGAUUUAUGUAUAAUAUGAAAAAAAUACAUAAAUGUAUAAUAAUAUUCAGUGUUAUAGAAGUAAUCCAGAACUAAGUGAAUGAUGAAUAUAUAUAUAUAUAUAUAUUUGAUAAAAAGUAUAAUUUACAAUUUUUAAACAGAGUUCAAAUUUUUGAAAUCAAUAAAAAAUAAAAAAUAAUAGACUAAUUUCAGUGUUAUAUUUUAAAAUGUAAGUAACUUUAUCUAAUAAUAUUCACUGCCUAGUUUUAUUUUAUUAAGUACUAUAAUAAUAUUUUGAUUAAAUAUUCAAAAAUGAUCAUUAAUAUUAUUGAAAAGAUAGAUUAGAUAGAUUUUGCGAAAGAUAUUUCGCAAAAUGAGUAGGCCACUGUUGAAGAUGAGAAGUUGGGAAGGUAGAGGGGAAAUUUAAUGUAUACCUGUACACAACAAUUAACCAUUGCUCGUGAAAAACAAUUCUAAGCGUUGUUCGGUUAAUAGUGUUACUUUGUCAAUAAUAUAUAUGUCAUAACAUGGUACAAUAACUACAUUUGCAUUAUAUAUUUUCUUUAAUAUUUAUUUAAUAUUGUACCUAUUUUCCCAUUUUUCCCCUUUUACUAUGAAAAACAUCCGAGAAAAUAAAAAAAUUACCUCCCUAAAGUACCAUCCCAGUCAAAUUACUUUUCAGAAAAAGUGCUAUAAUUGAAAAUUGGAAAAAAAUUGUACAUAGAAAAAAAAUAAACACCUUGUAAAAACUUUAUAUAAUAAUGAAAUAGUUUGAUUUGCAUAGAGAAUAGAAAAUCCUUAAAUAAUAAUAAUAUUUAAUGUAUAUAAAUGUAUUUAUUUAGUAGAUACAGUUUUUAAAUAAACAAAGCAUUAUUACCCGUUUCUUUUAUAUGAACUCUAGCUAAACCUAUAAGUAAUUCCAAAGCUGCUAAUGAAAUGUUCAAAUCUGAUUUCCAUG